UAAGCGGAGGAAAAGAAACUAACAAGGAUUCCCCUAGUAGCGGCGAGCGAAGCGGGAAGAGCUCAAAUUUAUAAUCUGGCACCUUCGGUGUCCGAGUUGUAAUCUCUAGAAGUGUUUUCCGCGUUGGACCGCACACAAGUCUGUUGGAAUACAGCGGCACAGUGGUGAUACCCCCGUACACGGUGCGGACGCCCAGCGCUUUGUGAUACACUUUCAAUGAGUCGAGUUGUUUGGGAAUGCAGCUCAAAUUGGGUGGUAAAUUCCAUCUAAAGCUAAAUAUUGGCGAGAGACCGAUAGCGAACAAGUACCGUGAGGGAAAGAUGAAAAGCACUUUGGAAAGAGAGUUAACAGUACGUGAAAUUGUUGGAAGGGAAACGCUUGAAGUCAGACUUGCUUGCCGGAGCUUGCUUCGGUUUGCAGGCCAGCAUCAGUUUUCCGGGGUGGAUAAUGGUGGUUUGAAGGUAGCAGCCUCGGCUGUGUUAUAGCUUUCCACUGGAUACAUCCUGGGGGACUGAGGAACGCAGCGUGCUUUUUGCGAAGGUUUCGACCUUUUCACGCUUAGGAUGCUGGUGUAAUGACUUUAAACGACCCGUCUUGAAACACG
rnacentral:rRNA from 1 species